rnacentral:ncRNA from 1 species
CUCGCGUCGCCCUUGAAAAUCCGAGUGAGGGAGUAUGAUUUUCGUGCCGCACCGUACCCACAUCCGCAGCAGUCUCCAAGGUGAACAGCCUCUAGAGUCUAGUCGAUGGACCAAUGUAGGUAAGGGAAGUCGGCAAAACGGAUCCGCAACCUUGGGAUAAGGAUUGGCUCUGAGGACUGAGUCGGUCGGGCUGGGGACCUGAAGCAGGAACGGCACUGUACCGAGACUGGGCGGGGCUCGCCGUUCACGCGGCGCGGCCAAGCCCGAACCAGCGUCGGGAUUUUUCUGUGGAAAGCCUCAGCUGCGCGGCGUCUGAGGGCUUCGUGCCCAAAGUGCUAUGCUUCGGCCGGCAAAAAACAGUCAACUCAGAACUGGCACGGACCGGGGGAAUCCGACUGUCUAAUUAAAACAAUGCAUUGCGAUGGCCGGUGUGGGCGCAAUGUGAUUUCUGCCCAGUGCUCUGAAUGUCAACGUGAAGAGAUUCAUCAAAGCGCGGGUAAACGGCGAGAGUAACUAUGACUCUCUUGUCAUAGUUACUCCCGCCAUCAAAGGUGCCAUCAAAGGACAGGAAGGUGAAGGUGGACACCUCGGAAAGUUUUACAAUGGGAUGCGUCGCGUUACCAACGAGCGACACCGCCUCGGUGUGGAAAUACCUGGGCCUCCAGUUUACGGCAAUGGGUAGAAGGGCCAUGUCGUUGGAGAGAGAGCUAGCCGAGCUCCUGGGUAGGGUCUCGAAGGCCCCUUUAAAACCUCCACAGAGGCUUGUGAUCUUGAAGUUUUACCUCAUUCCGCGCCUCUUACAUAGGUUGAUCUUAGGACCUUGAUCGCAGAACCUUUUGCUCCGACUAGACAAGAUGGUCAGAGCCGCAAUGAGAAGGUGGCUGGCACUGCCACACGAUGCUCCGAUGGCAUACUUUCAUGCCGAGGUCUCCGAGGGUGGGUUGGGCGUCCCGUCAUUGAAGACGACCAUACCAGGUAUGCAACUACGGAGGCUGGAUAAAUUGUCCCAGUCUACCCACUCUGCCUGUCAAGAGGCCUUGAAGACCAGGCUAAUAAAGAGUCUGGCACAAAGAGCGAGUGCAGCCGCGAAGUAUCGCGGCAGGGAAGUGUUUACAAAGAAAGCAGUGUCCGGCUUCUGAACGGAGCUCCUCCAUCACAGUGUGGAUCACUGCAUUGAAAAAUUGCAGUGAUGCCCCCUAUGCCCAAGCAUGGGUAAGAGAUCAAACGCGCCUGUUAUCAGGCAAGCAGUUUAUUAACUUGGUGAAGUUGCGAAUAAACGCAUUCCCGAACCUAACCCGUACAAAGAGAGGCCAAAGUGGCGCUCCAACGGGAUGUAGGGCGGGCUGUCUUGCCCCUGAAUCCCUGAGGCAUAUACUGCAGGCAUGCCACCGAACACAUAGUACGAGUUUGCAGCGCCAUGACGGGAUGGUGGCGUACAUGGCGGAAAGGUUCAAAGAAGUCGGGUGGGAUGUGGCAAUUGAGCCAAGGAUUGAGACAGAUAGGGGCAUAGUUGAGCCUGAUCUUGUCCUCAAAAGGGAGGUCCAGUUGGUCAUAGUUGACGCCCAGGUUGUGGGCACUAGGUUGCCUUUGCAUGAAGCGCAUCACCACAAAGUGGCGAAGUACAAUUUUCCCGACUUGUUACAUAAGAUACAAGUUACACGCGCUCACCCCCCGGUGGUGACCAGUGCCACAGUGAGCUACCGUGGAGUUUGGGCACUGGAGAGUGUGUCAGCACUACACGAUCUUGGUCUAGGACGCUACGACAUCAAGUUGAU